rnacentral:lncRNA from 1 species
GAGUUCCAGGAGGAGCUGGCGUGGCCGGGAGAGCAGGAGGGGUACCCGGGGCUGGAUAUGGAGGUGAGUCCGUUUUGGCUUUGCCAAGGAAAUGUACUGUACUAUAUGCUACACAUUAUGUUGAUCUCUGUAAAGGGUAGCUUCCUAGACAGAGAUGAAGACUUAUCCUGGAAUAGAAAACAUUUUCAUUGGACAUUCUCCUAACCGCCCCCCAAUUGUUUUAGUGAGUUCAUAAAUCAGGGAUGAUGUCUUUCAUUUAUAAAUUUUUUGCAUGUCAGGACAUAAUCCUGCUGCGGCCAAAGCUGCUAAAUAUGGUAAGAAAAAACACAGAAACAUCAGAGUUAAACUUCUGUCUACUUUUAACUAACUAUAAUUUUCUUGUGACCCUCCACCACAGGAGUUCCAGGAGGUGCAGGAGCAGGCCUAGGAGCUGGAGGACUUGGAGGAGCAGGAGGAGGGGUACCAGGGGCUGGAGGACUUGGAGGAGCAGGAGGAGGGGUACCAGGGGCUGGAGGAUAUAACCCUGCUGCGGCCAAAGCUGCUAAAUAUGGUAAGAUCACUCAAAACAAUCAAUCUCAUUCAUUAUUGGUACAUUGGUUGAAUUUACGUCUGUCUUAAGUCGUGGUGUGACAAGUCUACUGUAUCUUUGGCAGUUCUGAAGCUAGCUAUAAAAUCCAAUUGUUUUCUUGUGGCCCUCUACCACAGGAGUCCCCGGAGGUGCAGGAGCAGGAAUAGGAGCAGGAGGAUUACCAGGAGGAGGAUUACCAGGAGGAGGAGGGGGGGGUGUAACUGGGGCUGGUGGAUAUAAUCCCGCUGCAGCCAAAGCUGCUAAAUAUGGAGUCUCAGGAGGUGUAGGAACAGGCUUGGGAGCAGGAGGAGUACAGGGUGGAGUAGGAGCUGGAGGAUAUGAUCCCGCGGCCAAAGCUGCUAAAUAUGGUAAGCCAAACGGGGUGGGCAUCGGUGGAGAAGGUGUGCCAGCGCCAGCAGCGACUCCAAGUCCAGGUGUGGGCGUGGGUGGUGGUGUUGGAGGAACUGCCAUUGAGCGCACUGACUUACCAGUGGGCACAGGGAUACCUAUCGCAGGCAAACCAGGUGCCACAGGAUUACCAGGAGUUGGUGCUGGGGUUCUUCAACCUAGUGGUGUGGGUGUCGGAGCAGGUGGCAAAGCUCCUAAACCGCCUGGUGCAGGGGGAUACCCGUAUGGUGGUUAUGGACAGGGUAUGUAUGAGAGAGGAGAAGAGCAAACCACAACCUUAUCACUGCACUAGCAGCAAGCAGACACACUCUGCUUAA